UAACAGUAUAUAUUCCAAAAUAACAUUUCCCAGAAGAUUUUUCAGUUUGAUUUCGACAGAAGUGUUUCAUGUGGUUAAAGUGUCACAGCCUAACUUAUCUCUUGUGUGACAUUCACAAAAUGACUUUUUACCCUACAACAAGACAGAAGAUCAUCAUUAUCUCGAGCAGAAGAUUACCAGGGAGUACAACCUGACUCUGUAGCUCUCAGAUCCAUCUUAGAAAGAGAUUACGUACCCUGACCAGUGAAGAACAGCACUUUGCCCUCUAGGAUAUAGCUAGUGGAGAAAAAAUUGAGUCACAACACAAAACACUCUCAAGUGCACAUCUACUGACAUCCAUGACAGCAUUAGUCCCAGCUUCCACAGUACUCUGUUGAUGGCUCCUGAGCAGCAGCUGCUGUAGCUCCUCCAGGCUCAUAUCCACGUUCUCCACUGCAUCUGAAACCUCCACUCUGCGCACACACACACACACAGGGAGAUAGAGAGAGAGAGAGAGUAAUAUAGCGGGUCUCUUACUCCUCCUCUCCAUCACAGAGGCCGUAGAGCCUCGCCCCUCCAGAACAGACUGGACCAUUGCGACAGGGAGAACAGGAGGUUCUGAGGAGCACACCUCACAGGAGGAGGU